GAUGAACGCUGGCGGCGUGCCUAAUACAUGCAAGUCGAGCGAACGGACGAUAAGCUUGCUUUUCUGAUGUUAGCGGCGGACGGGUGAGUAACACGUGGAUAACCUACCUAUAAGACUGGGAGAACGGCGGGAAACCGGAGCUAAUACCGGAUAAUAUUUUGAACCUCAUUGUUCAAAAGUGAAAAACGGUCUUGCUGUCACUUAUAGAUGGAUCCGCGCUGCAUGAGCUAGUUGGUAAGGUAACGGCUUACCAAGGCAACGAUGCAUAGCCGACCUGAGAGGGUGAUCGGCCACCCUGGAACUGAGACCGGGCCCAGACUCCUACGGGAGGCAGCAGUAGGGAAUCUUCCGAAAUGGGCGAAAGCCUGACGGAGCACCGCCGCGUGAGUGAUGAAGGUCUUCGGAUCGUAAAACUCUGUUAUUAGGGAAGAACAUAUGUGUAAGUAACUGUGCACAUCUUGACGGUACCUUAUCAGAAAGCCACGGCUAACUACGUG
rnacentral:rRNA from 1 species